rnacentral:tRNA from 1 species
CGCGGGGUGGAGCAGUGGUAGCUCGUUGGGCUCAUAACCCAAAG